rnacentral:lncRNA from 1 species
AGUGCAAGCUAGAAGGAGGCUUGGAUUAUAGAUCUGAGAACACUCCCCCUACGAACAGAGGGGUGGUUGCUCAUUAUAUUGGAAAUUGGGCGCUCUCCCCAUGGACAUAUGCAAGUUGCUGAACCAUGUAAAUUGCUCAUGUCAUUUUUCUCUUUAUUAUUAUUUUUUUUUGUUUAUUUUUCCUUGCUAGUUCCAUGAUAUGGACAUGAACUUCUUCUUGCAUAGCAAGCUGCUUGUCACAAUUUAACGUUAUCUACCUUUGCUUUAAUGGCUAGGAAUCA